UCAUCUUACAAUUAAAGGAUAUUUCUUGCGAAUAUACAAACGGAAAUAUCUCUUAAUUGUUUGGUUAAGGCUAUGCGAUC
ensembl:miRNA eel-mir-7552-2 eel-mir-7552-2